UGUCCCCACCCAGAACCCAUCCAGGGGGGGUUUGGAGGCCCCCACUUGUCCUGCUUGAACUCCAGGAGCUCCAUCACCUCCCUGUUUGAAACUUCUGGG